AGAACGAACGCUGGCGGCAGGCUUAACACAUGCAAGUCGAGCGCCCAGCAAUGGGAGCGGCGGACGGGUGAGUAACACGUGGGAACAUGCCUUUCGGUACGGAACAACUGCGGGAAACUGCAGCUAAUGCCGUAUACGCCCUUACGGGGAAAGAUUUAUCGCCGAAAGAUUGGCCCGCGUCUGAUUAGCUAGUUGGUGAGGUAACGGCUCACCAAGGCUUCGAUCAGUAGCUGGUUUGAGAGAACGACCAGCCACACUGGGACUGAGACACGGCCCAGACUCCUACGGGAGGCAGCAGUGGGGAAUCUUGGACAAUGGAGGAAACUCUGAUCCAGCCAUGCCGCGUGAGUGAUGAAGGCCUUCGGGUUGUAAAACUCUUUUACCUGGGAAGAUAAUGACUGUACCAGGAGAAUAAGCCCCGGCUAACUUCGUGCCAGCAGCCGC
rnacentral:rRNA from 1 species